CCCCUUGAAACCCCAACUUUACAAACACACCGUCCUCUAAAACUUUUAACUCCAUGCCCAUUGCUAUUUUUGCUUCUUCCCUAUAUUUUUUUUUCUGAUGAGACUCUUAAUCUUUACAUACAACAGGAACUUUGUGAUACUAGGAGGAGAGGAGGGGUUCCAAAUGCUCGUUGAUGCCUUGGUUUGGGAUUUAGAUGCCUUACGUUGUUGCAUAUUGCAUCAUGUUCCUUCAAUUGGCCAUGCUUGUCUUUCGGAAUCAUGGAUCACUUAAUCUCUUGGGAAUGUUAAAAUCAGAAGUAACUAAUAUUUCUCAUCCAUUUUCUAAGAAUUUUCAGCUGUGUGUGUGUUUUUUUUCGUUUCUAUUUUAAAUCUUACAGGCAGAGAAGGUAUUCAACUAGGACAUGUUUUUCAAGAAGACUGUCAAAUAUGUUGGAGAGCCAAUGACCCACUUGGAAUCCAUUGCUUCCUCUGCAGUAUUUCUUCCUCCCCGGUGCUGCUCUUCGUAAAUCAAAGUUAAUGAAGAUUUACUUAGAUUUCUUCGUUUUUGUUGAUUAUAUCUUUGAACGCAGAUUCAUAAUUAAAUAUCUUCGUUUUCGUUGAUUAUAUCGUUGAAGAGCAGCUGAAGAAAAGCCUGUCUUCUGUUCAAAUAAAUGGAGGUGAAACUUUAAAUGUGCAGCACAAUAAGAGCUUUGCUUCUGUUCAAAUAAAUGGAGGUGAAACUGUAAAUGUUGGAGUGGAGGUAGCUAAUUCGGAAGUAGAAUACAUUGAAUCUGAGAACUUGAGUGAUCUAGAAGAUGUUGAUACAUGUCUUAAGAAGCUCUUACCUGGACUUGACUUUAAAGAUUGGAUUCUGGUUGUUGAAACACUCAAUAAUGUUCGUCGAUUAUCAGUAUUCCAUAAGGAAAGAAUGCAUGGGGUGAUUUGAUCCCUCUUGUAGUUAAGUCCUUGAAGAAUCCUAGGUAUGCAUCCUUAUAAUUGGUGUGAAGUCUUUGUAUAACCUCAUUUUCUCUUCGUUGGCUGGUCAUGAUGCCUUAUGAGGUGUGCGAAAUUUUUUUUUCAAGUUAUUCGAACUCGAUCAUAGUUGUUGUUAAUAAAAGAAGUUGGAACUAGUUUAUCCAUCUACUAGCACGUUUAAAGAAUUAGAGCUAUUGCAUGUCUUGUUCCUAUUGGACUCUGCAUCUGGAACCCAUGUGAGAGCUACAAAAUGAUAAAAGUGUUGAUGGUGGAUUUGACAACAAUGAACUAGAAUAUAAAGAAACUCACAAAAUAGUCAUUUUGCCUAGCUGCUUGAAAUCUUCCUUUUCCAUCUGUGGAGUUGCCUGAGAAGGUAAGAUUGGCAGUUGAUGCUAUUUUAAUGGCUGAGGGUGCUGAACGGAAAGAGCAUAUGGGUAUUAAGGGUUUAACGAAGCUUCUAGCAGACAAUGCACCAAAGGCCAUGAAGGAACAAAAAUUAGAGAGCUAUUUCGGCCGCAAGAUUGCCAUGUAGUUACUCAAAGAAGGCAGAUGCUACUGUAGUUACUCAAGAUUGCCAUGUAGUUACUCAAGAUUGCCAUGUAGUUACUCAAAGAAGGCAGAUGCAAGAAGCCAUGAAGGUAUUUUUCUUUGGUCAAACAUGUAGUGAUAAGUAAAGUUUUCUUUUGUUGUUUCAUCACUAUGGAAAAUUAAGGUGCUGUUGUUUUUAUUAUUAGACUGGAAAUAAGGAGGACAUUGAAAUAAGGUAGCCAAAAUUUUGUCACCUGUCAGUAAUAGAUACUUGUAGAGUUCAAUUAAUUCAACGCCGCAGGAAAACGGAAGCGUAUGUAUAAUAACCGUAUUUGUAGUACUGAUUUUUGUUAUAUAAUAAUGAAAUGAAUAUAUGUUCUUUUACCGUAUAAUGAAA